AGGAACUCGAUAAAAUGACCCCGUAACUUUGAGAUAAGGGGUGCUCUCUUAUCUUUUAAUUAGGAAAGCGACACAUAUCAGGUGGUAGUGACUGUUUAUUAAAAACACAGGACUCUAUUAAGUGGUACGAUGAAUAGAGUCUGAUACUUAACCAGUGAUGGAAGAUUGGAAGGAAAAGUGUUAUAAGCUUUGAAUGGAAGACCCGGUAAACGCCAACAGUAACUCUAACUAGUUUUCCUAACGGUUGAUUUUCGAAUCGAUUGUUGAUGGCAUUAAAAGUUUUAGAAUGGGAUGAUUUUU
rnacentral:ncRNA from 1 species